rnacentral:rRNA from 1 species
AACGAACGCUGGCGGCAGGCUUAACACAUGCAAGUCGAACGCCCCGCAAGGGGAGUGGCAGACGGGUGAGUAACGCGUGGGAACAUACCCUUUUCUACGGAAUAGCUCUGGGAAACUGGAAUUAAUACCGUAUACGCCCUACGGGGGAAAGAUUUAUCGGGGAAGGAUUGGCCCGCGUUGGAUUAGCUAGUUGGUGGGGUAAAGGCCUACCAAGGCGACGAUCCAUAGCUGGUCUGAGAGGAUGAUCAGCCACAUUGGGACUGAGACACGGCCCAAACUCCUACGGGAGGCAGCAGUGGGGAAUAUUGGACAAUGGGCGCAAGCCUGAUCCAGCCAUGCCGCGUGAGUGAUGAAGGCCUUAGGGUUGUAAAGCUCUUUCACCGAUGAAGAUAAUGACGGUACCCGGAGAAUAAGUCCCGGCUAACUUCGUGCCAGCCGCCGCGGUAAGAC